AUUUCUGUUCUCAUCCUGAAGCAAAGUUCUUAACCUAAAGCACUAUUUCUGGGUUAGUUGAGUCUGUAACCUGAAACGUCUGUAACCUGAACCGUAUGUAACCCGAGGUACCACUGUAUUUAAAAUGCAUCUCUGGGUUAUUUGUGGGGCAUAGGAAUUCGUUCAUAUUAUUUUUCAAAAUACAGUGGUGCCCCGCAAGACGAAUGCCUCGCAAGACGGAAAAACCGCUAGACGAAAGGGUUUUCCGUUUUGAAGUUGCUUCGCAGGACGAAUUCCCCUAUGGGCUUGCUUCGCAAGACGAAAAUACCUUGCGAGUCUUGAGAUUUUUUUUUCGCUUUCCCCCCCCGUUAUCUAAUCUGCUAAGGCUUUAAUAGCCUUUAAUAGCCUUUUAGCAGCUCAUACCCUAAGCCUUUAAGCCUUUAAUAGCCGCGAACCCGCUAAUAGCGCUAAUAGCGCUAAUCCGUCAAUGGGCUUGCUUCGCAAGACGAAAAAACCGCUAGACGAAGACUCUCGCGGAACGGAUUAAUUUCGUCUUGCGAGGCACCACUGUAUAGUCCGCCCCCCCAAGGUCUGAGGGACAGUGGACCGGCCCCCUGCUGAAAAAGGUUGCUGACCCCUGUCCUAAAGCAACUGUAAGAACAGGACGCUGGAGGAGUUGAGCCUUUGGUCUGAUUCUUGUUCCUAAAUCACUGCUGAAUUUCUGAAUGUUGCGGCACUUUCUUGUAUAUUUACCUUUGUGCAUACAUUUAAAUAAUCCAGUCCCGGGUUGAUCUAUUGUUGGCAGAGUGCUGCCUUUGAGGAAUUCGGGUUCAAAUGUAGGUCUAGGGUGGCCCUGGGCAAGCUGCUUGCUCUUGUGUUUAUCUCGGCUUAAACCAACCACCCAGGUUUGCCAUGUGAGGACCCACCACUAUUCUGAGCUCUUUUAAGAAAAAAGAGACGUACAGUGGUACCUCAGAUUAAGUACUUAAUUGGUUCAGGAGGUCCGUUCUUAACCUGAAACUGUUCUUAACCUGAAGCACCACUUUAGCUAUUGGGGCCUUCCGCCGCCGCCACCACGCAAUUUCUGUUCUCAUCCUGAAGCAAAGUUCUUAACCCGAGGUACUAUUUCUGGGUUAGCAAAGUAUGUAACCUGAAGUGUAUGUAACCUGAAGCGUAUGUAACCCGAGGUACCACUGUAAAUGUAUUUUUAACAUUAAGGUCAAGGAGAAUGCUUUGUAUUAAAACCUUGGUUUAGCCACUUCGAAAACACUGGUAAUAAACUGGUUUGGUUUAGUUGUUUGCUUUUGGG